rnacentral:misc_RNA from 1 species
AGCAGCCGCGGUAAUUCCAGCUCCAAUAGCGUAUAUUAAAGUUGUUGCAGUUAAAAGCUCGUAGUUGAAUUUCGGGAUCAAUACGUCGGUCGUGCUUCGGUACGUACUGGUGUCAUUGAUUUCUCCCUUCUGACGAACCAUGAUGUCAUUAACUUGGUGUCAUGGGAAAUCAGGACUGUUACUUU